CAAGACGUAGCUAACCAUCAAAGCACUCAGCUUACACCUGAAAGAUACCUGCCCCUAGCCCAGGUCGUCUUGA
rnacentral:tRNA from 1 species